ACCACAUGCUUGUGCUUCGUAUAGCUAUAUAAAAGGCACACACACAUCCUAAAACUGGGGUAGGCAACUUUCAGCACUCCAUAUUUGGAGUGCAACCUCCAUAAUGCUGCAAAGCAUCAAGGGAGAUGUUGUUUACCAACAUCUGUAAUGUUAAAGGUUGCCUACGCCUGGCCUAAGUGUAAUACUGGACAGAAAUCACCUCAGGUUGCAUACUUCAAAAGCAUACAAAUG